UUAACUCAAAUUUGUAUGGUGUUGGAACGUUUACCUGCGUUUGCCGCUAGGGGCGCUAUUCCAAUUGCGUACAAAUUUGAGUUA
rnacentral:pre_miRNA from 1 species